rnacentral:rRNA from 1 species
UGAUGUACAACCUCACCAGAGUACCAAUUGGAGGGCAAGUCUGGUGCCAGCAGCCGCGGUAAUUCCAGCUCCAAUAGCGUAUAUUAAACUUGCUGCAGUUAAAAAGCUCGUAGUUG